AUGCUGCCUGCAAUGCAUGUUCCUUUCGCUACUUCGGUUCCUCUACAGAUUUCAUCCACAAGCACUAGGCUUCUCGAUGUGGCUCCGGUUAUUACGGAACGGACCUCGGACAUUUCAAUCUGACAGGGCUAUCAUAAGAUUUCAUAUGCAGCAUAACAGAGUCAAAAUGGGGAAUGAAGGCUGAUUCAGCAGGCACCAUCAAACCACAUAUUCCAAGUAUUGCUGCUGCACAAAUGGAUCGUAGCAAACUUGAUUUUCCGCCACCAUUGGGUCCUGUUAAAAUAAAUAGGGAUUGCAUCUCUAUAGUAUUCUGAACAGCACUGCCUUGAGCAACAUCAAACCAAUAUGGUGAUAAACCAGUAAUUUCCAUUCUGUUGGCAGCAUCUAAUGGUUCUAUAUCCUGCAUGUAACAAAUCAUGUUAAACUUUUUUUACACCUGUAUGAUGAAAGAAAUUAUGAUAGUCCAACCAUCCUCUACUAUUUAUAUGCUAUUACAAUUCUCUAA